CCGCUUUUCAUAGCUGUUUAGCACUCUUUAGAAUGAAAUGCUACGUGUUAAGGAGCUGUUCUCUUGCGAUGGAAACAGGUUGUUUCUGUUGGUGUGUUUGUGACGCCCGUGCCCGUCAUGAGCGCUCCUGAGGAGACGCGCCAGGGCCAGGCUUCCUCUGCCAGAGCUGCCCGGGGGCAGGCGAGCCUCAAGGAUGGAAGCUGGAGCAUGAAGGAGGCCCCUAGAUUCUGCUUCACACAGACAGCCAGGGAUGCGGCUUUUCAGCAGGAAACGAGGCUUCUGACCUUGACCUUUCUGGCUGGAAUGUGGAAAUGCUAAGCUGAGGUGGAGCAGCUGUCCUCAACCAUGAGAAUGAAAACCACAAGCUUUUCCUCCUGGGAUGUAAAAAGCUGGAAAGAACAUCACUCCCAUCACGAGAAAAAGCCAGGUAAUCUACAAAAUCUUAACUUUUCUUGAACCCAUCAGAGAGCUGAGGUUCAAGGAAAUCACCCUGCCCGAAAUCUAGGGGAAGAUAGGUCUAAGGAGAAAUGGGACAUGAGCGUCAUCUCGCAGGUGGCAGAGCGUGAGCUCAACAGGUAAGAAGCAUUCAGCAAAAGCUUUUGAUGGAUUUCUAAAGGCUGGUGUAGGCUGGAGAGAGAGCAUAGACUGCUGGCAGCUGCACACCAAGGAAGUUUGUUCCCAUCUCGGCCUCUUCUCCCUGGAUGCCCAGCAGGUACAGAAGAAGGACUGGGGGCAGGCAGGAGGCUGGAGAGAACCACUCUGCACAGCUGGAGAAGUGAGUGGCCAUCACUGUGCAAGGGCACAAAGCCCUGCCUGGACCUUUCUCCCCAAGGAACAAAGCACAAGCAGUCCUUGUGCUGCUGGGGGAAGGACAGCCAGCCCUGCCAGCCGCAGGGCACAGGGAAGAACCUCUGGGAUGCAGUGGGGAGAAACUACCCUCUAUUCCCAGGGCAGAGGCAGAAACUCUCCUGGGUCCAGAUCAUCAAAGAUCUCCUUCAAAUGGGAGAGGGGCAGGGCCACCAAGAAAAUCCAUCUCAAGACACAGAGACACAAAGUCCACCUAAGACUGAGGCCGGGCCUCAGAACCUUCUCUAUUCCCCAUGCCCAGGCUUGCAAGAUCCAGCGUUCUAGGACUGAGAGGGUAGGAGCCAGAGGAGAGCCGCUCUGACAUUCUGGCACACAAGAAACACUUAAAACUGAAAGUAGAGCAGAAACACUGAGAAAAACCUUCUGCCAAACCAAACCCCACCCAAAGCGCAAGAUUCUGCCAGAGGAAUGUGAAGCUACCAGUGGACUGAAGGCAACCAUAGCAACAGAACCCAAACCCAGCUCAACUCGCCUGAUUGACUUAACACACAUAUCACACACACAUGCACAUAUACACACCAACACACAUACCUUACACACAUGCACAUAAACACACCAACACACAUACCUUACACACAUGCACAUAAACACACACAUCUGCACACACCCACACAUGCAAGGACACACAUGCAUUAAUGACCUAGCAGAGAAGACUUUUCCCCAUUUCCUGGCAUAAAUACUACUUAUCUUAGUCUCCACUGUCCUAUGUGUGAUGUCCAGCACUCAUUCUAAAAUUAUGACACACACAAAAGAGAAAGAAAAACAACCCACUGCCAAGAAACGAAGCAAUCAAACUAGAAGAUAGACCAGUUUAAACAACUAUGAUUAAUAUGUUAAAUGUUUUACUGGAAAAAUGAUGACAACGCUGAUGAAUAAAUGGAGAAUUUCUGCAGAGAGAUGGAAGUUAUAUGAAGGAGUCAAAUGGAAAUGCUAUCACUAAAAAAGAGCAGAUAACAGAUGAAACAUUCCUUCUCUGGGUUCAUCAGUACACUCCACACAGGCAAGGAAAUGGAAAUGCUAUCACUAAAAAAAGGUAGAUUACAGAUAAAACAUUCCUUCUCUGUGUUCAUCAGUACACUCCACACAGGCAAGGAAAGAAUCCAUUAACAUUGUGAUAGGUCAAUUAAAAUUAUCCAAACUGAAACACAAAGUGAAAAAGAAAAUAUAUAUAUUUUUUAAAUCAGAGCAUGAAAGAGCAAUGUCACAAUAGCAAAUAAUCUAACAUAUGUGUAAUUGGAAUUGUAGAUGUAGACGUGAGAAAAUAAGACAGAAAAAAGUUUGAAGACAUAAAGUCUAAGAAUUUAAAAAGAAAGAAAGAAAGAUAUUCAAUUACAGACCCAAGAAGCUCAGACAAUCCCAAGCAAGAUAAAUAUCAAACACACAUACCCCUAGAAACAUUUAGACACAUUAUCAUCACACUGCCAAAAAUCAAAUAUAAAAGCAAAAUCAUGAAGGCAGCAAAAGGAAAAAUAUACACUAUGUACAGAGAAGAAAAAAUCAGAAUUACAGUAGACUUCUUAUCAAUAACUAUGUAAGCCAAAGGAUGAUGUCAUGAAGUAUCUAAAGUGCUGUGGGGUCAGGAGGAUGAGGAGGGCCCUGUCAACCCAGAAUUCUAUAUCCAGUAAGAAUAUCUUUCAGAAAUGAAUGACAAGUCUGGGAAUGGGGGAAGGGGGGAGUGACUGCCACUGGAUACAAGCUUCCUUUGGGGGUUGAUGAAAAUGUUCUGAAAUUAAAUAGUGAUGAUGGUUGCACAACCUUGUGAAUAUACUCAAAACCACUGAAUUUUACACUUAAAAAUGAACUUUAUUGUCUGUAAAUUAUAUCUCAAAAAAAGAAAGAGAUAUAAGCUAUUUUUCAAACAGAAAGUGACAGAAUUUAUUAUCAGAAACCAGAACUACAAGAAAUGUGAAAGAAGCUCUUUAGACAGAGCACUAUGACACCACACAGAAACUUGGAUCUACACAAAGAAAUGAAGACACUCAGAAAUGAUUAAAUUUGAAGUAAGUAUAAAAGGAGUUUUUCUUAUUUUCAGUUGCCAUGGAAAGAAAACAUUGACUGUCUAAUGACAAAAGAGUAGAAGGUGCUGUGGGUUGAUAGCAUUUGUAAAAGUAAAAUUUACGACUAAAUGUAAUAAAAUGUGGGAGGGAGGAAGUAGGAGUACCCUGUCCUGAGGUGCUCACACGAUACAUGGAGUGGCAUAAUAUUAUUGGAAGGUAAUUUGAAGAGAUAGAUUUUAUGACAACCACAGGGGGUGGGAAAAAAGCAUUUGGUAAGCCUUAGGACAACCCCUGGGAGAAAAUGUUAUAGAGGGAUAAAUAAUAAGCCAAUAAUAUACAUGAAAAGGAAUCAUACAUUCUGAAUUAAUCCAAAAGAAGAUGGAGAAAGAAGGAAGGAGAGAACAAAGGACAGAUGGAACAAAUAGAAAAUAACUGGCAAAGAUGUCCAAUUUUAUUCCAAUCAUAUCAAUCAUUGCACUGACCUUUAAUGAUCUGAAUACACCAAAGAGAAGAUAGAGAUUCCCUGGAUAAAACAAAAAGACCCAACUAUUUUCUAUCUACAAGAAACACAUUUUAAAUAUAAAUACUUAGUGAGGUUAAAAGUACAAGCAGAGUGAAAAGACAUACCAUGGAACACCAAAUAGAAGAAAACUGGAGUGGCUGUCUGGAGUGGAAAAAGUAGACUUCAGAACAAGAGAGGCCAUUAGGGAUAAAGAGGGUCAUUACAUAAGGAUAAAGGGGUGAAUUCACCAACAACACAUAGCAAUCCUCGGUAGGUAUCGCUCUAACAAAAGAACCACAAAUACAUGUCAAAAGCCACUACAGCUGAAAGGAGAAACGGACAAAUCCAGUUAUAUUUAGAGACUCCUCUCUCAGUAAUCAAUAAAAUAAGUAGACAGAAAAUCAGUAAGGAUACAGAAGACUGACUAACAUUAUCAACUUACUUGGCUUAAUGACAUUUGUAGAACGCUCCGUCCCACAACAGAGAAAUUACAUCCUUUUUCAGUGCACAUAAAAUAUACACCGAUUAGACCAUACUCUGGGCCAUAAAAUAAACCUCAGCAAAUAUGAAAUUUUGAAAUUCUAUAAAGUAUGUCCUCUUAAUGGUAAUGGAAUUGAACUAGAAGUCAAAAUGAAAGAACGAUAACUAUUUGGGUGAUAAAAUGUUCUAAAAUUAGAUUAUGAUGGUUUUUACAUGACUGUCAACACACUAAGAAACAUUGAACUGUGCACUUUAAAGGAGUGAACUUUAUAAUAAAUAAAUUACUAGAACUAAUAAGUGAGUUUAGCAAGGUCACAGAAACAGGUUCAACAUAAAAAAAUUAAUUUGCUUUGAUACAAUAGCAAUGGAUGAUUGGGAAUUUAAAUUUUUAAAUGCUAUUUUAAAUAUCAUUUUACAUAUGAUAUUAAAUAUCUAAAACAUUACCAUGUAUAAUAACACCACCAAAAAAUUAAAUAUUUCCCUUCUUAGGGAAAUUUUUUGCAGUGUUGGACAAAUUUUGUGUCUUGUAAUGGUAGUGGUUACAUGACUAUGUGUUUGUCGAAACUCAUGGAGCUGUACUCUAGAAAGAGUGAUUAUUUUCGUAUAUGAGUUACACCUAAAUACACCUGCCUGAAAUAUCCCAUAAGCUAAGAAUGACAGAGCCACAGGCUAGAAGGUGCUCGAGUCCCUGGUGACAUUGCAGAACUGCCAUAUUGCCCCUCUACUUGCCUAAGCCACUGGAAUCUUGUGUUUAUUACAUGUACUUGAAAAAUAAUCUUGGCCAGGUGCGGUGGCUCACGCCUGUAAUCCCAGCACUUUGGGAAGUUGAGGCAGGCAGAUCACGAGGUCUGGAGUUCGAGACCAGCCUGGCCAACAUGGUGAAACCCCAUCUCUACUAAAAAUACAAAAAAUUAGCUGGGCAUGGUGGCGCAUACCUGUAGUCCCAGCUACUCAGGAGGCUGAGGCAGAAGAAUCGCUUGAACCCGGUAGGCGGGGUUGCAGUGAGCCGAGAUUGUGCCACCGUACUCCAGCCUGGGUGACAGAGUGAGACUCCAUCUCAAAAAGGAAAGAAAAAAUAAAAGAAAAAGAAUCUCUAACUGACACAGUAUGACAAGUGGAUUGGGGCCUCAUCUUGAUUACUCAGGUGGUUUCUCAGUCCAGAGUGGCUUUUUCACUUUGCCUCUGAACUCAGCCAAAGUCAUGGGAUACCUACCAAUGAGUCCAUUUUUAUUUUCACCCACCUGUAACUGAGGAAUAAACAACUCUAGAUAUUAAAAGGUGGAAUCCUAUUAGACAGUGAGGCACUACAUUAUCAUCUGUCAUCACCACCACCAUCAUCACAUGACCAAUUAACAGACCGUCCAGCAAACAGUAUGAUUUGUCAUUUGGAAGCAAAAUCAACUGCAGGGGAAAAGACAAUCAAUUACCUUGCACCUUUUAGAAAGUCAUGCUGAACCACUGCAGCAAAACUAGCCAUUAAUUAAUACCUCAACUCACUGUCUCAGUGAAUAACAAUGUCAAGCUCGAAAAAACCUCCAAAAAGAGAAUUGCAUGUCAAGGGACGUAUUCUGGGGAAAUCCUAUACCAACAAGUGUUCCAAUACUUAAUUUUGUGAAGGCCCUAGAAAGAAUUAAACUAAAAAUCAAAAAAGAUAUCUGGUUUGAAAAUCAGUUGAAUUGUACCACAAUUUUG
rnacentral:lncRNA from 10 species